AUUAAAAAUUAAUGUUUUUUUAAAAAUUACUUUUUUGGAAAUAAUUAUUGAGAUGUGUAUACUCGCAUGUAUUUUGGGUGCAAGGAAUAUAUAUUAUUUUGUACUUGAUAGUUACUGUAAGUACAAUGUAAACUUUUUUAAAAUAGUAUAAUUUUUUUUUUAAUUUAUAUGAAAUCAACAUGAAUCCAAACAGUACACUUCUAAAUAUGGCUUUUUCCCUUUAAUUUAUCAUGGACAUAUCAUACAUCGUUGAUCCUUAUUCUGAUUGUUUUCCUGUUAUAUUGUCUAUUUCUUGUACCCAAACAAAACCUGAAAAGUUUGUGUGUUUGCAUACUGUUGACAUUUCUAGUAGUCACCAGGGCAACAAGCUCCCAUUAGUAGUUUGGUUAAUAUUUCUCCUGAAUAUUUGGCCCCAGCUGAAGAAUGAACGAGCAUAAGACAACUUCAAUCCUUGAAAUCCUCUCACACUAAUGAGAUAUGAUUAAAACGGCAGAUAGAAAGCAGUCCCACUGACAUGCACGAGGGGAAACACACACUUGCACACAUUCUCACUAAUGAGCUUUGAUUUGUGGGACUGAUAGUGUGUGUGGUUUCCUUAAAACGACUCUGUAAAUCCUCAGUAAUGUAAUUAAGCACGACGGCAGAUUUAUGCAUGUAGCAGGACAGAAACUGAUCCUUGCCUAUUCUUUCCACGCUCUGAAAAGCCCUUUGUCUACCGCUGUCAUCCACUGUUUUGGGCUUGUGUGUAUACAUUUCUUAAUUUUCAAUAAAAAUGACUCACCUGACUGGUUUAGUAUAAUAAUUAACAGAAGAAAUUAGCUUUUAAUUCCAGAGAGCAAGACCAAAUUGGCUGGAUUACAAAGACAACAGGAGCUGAAACAACUCAUUCUGUCCAAAUAACCACAAAUAACUUGAAGUUUGAGAGUAAAAAAGUUUCGUUACAGAAAACCUAGCAUGUUGACAACUGAGGAAGGACCAAAAAGACACAUUUACAGCUGGAAACCUCAUUCUGUCGGAGGCACUCAACCUGGUAUCAGUCACCCUGGGAGAUGUAUCAACAGCAAGGCCUGGCUUCUGAGCUCCAGACCAAAGCGCUGGAGACAUACGGUCCCACUCAUCGCCCACAGGUGGGCUGGUGGCUUCAGAACACACUAUUCCCUGCCCCAGUGUGUGACCACUGUGAAAGAGAGGAAAAAGCACCAGGCUGCCAGGCUGAAGCUGACUCAGAAGCUCUGGCAUCUGCCACAGUGAGACUGAUGACCUUAGAGGAGCAAAAUACGUGACCUCAGUGAACAGGGACAAGCAUAGACAGAGGAAUUGUGAGAUGUCUGUGGUGAUGGAUGAGUCUCUGCUGGAGCCCUGGGCCACAGGUCAGAUAGAUGAGAGUGUCCGAGAGUGAGUGAAAAGAAAAAGGGAUCUGAGCAAUGGAGCUGAGACCCCCACAGGCCGGCUGUAUCCCAGCUAAAGGCAAAGAUAGCUGAUGAGGGCUUGAUGAACUUCCUUCGAAAGGCUGGUGCAGUGGUCAGUAUUCACUAUUGACAUGCAACACAGCUCUCAGGCAAAGACAGAGGGUCAAUUGACAUUCUGAGAAGGAGGUCUAUGAAUCACAGUUGUGUGUGUGUGUGUGUGUGUGUGUGUGUGGUCAUGUUAGUGUACCCACUGUUUGUGCACAAACUCUGAGGAGAUUGAAUAAGAAAGAUUAUUUCAACAAAUGUGUCCCAACAUCAUCUUUACAUUUUUUUUGAUGCUUUCCUGUGCAAAACUGUCUCCCACAAUGCUAGGGUGUUGUAGAUAAUUGUUCAAGUCCUGUCCAGCAAUUUCUAAGGUGUUUGGAGGGGUAUUUAGCGCAAUGCUAUGAGGUUGCUAGGAAGUUCUGGGUGAUUGUUGAGUGACUGCUUGCUGGCCAGAAAGAGCUAAUGCAUGUUCCCACUCAUUUCAUUGUUGGACAGGUGUAAUUGGGUCUUGGGGGGUCUUUUUGGAUAAUUUAAGAGAAAACAGAUAUUGCAAAAUUUAUUUUUGGACCUGAAAAAAUGACUUCUAUGAACUUAUUACUUUAUCAUUUUUAACUGCCUGUCUUUAUUUAUUUAUUUUUUAAUAACAUGGAUAUAUUUGUUUAACUGAGAAUGCUUGCAGACAUAUACAAAUAACAAUUAUAUCAAGUUAAAACAAAUUCAAAAUUUGGCUAGAUAUUUUAAUGAUUUGUUUUAUAACAGUGAAAAUAUAAAAG
ensembl:lncRNA